GAUGAAGAACGUAGUGAAAUGCGAUACUUGGUGUGAAUUGCAGAAUCCCGUGAACCAUCGAGUCUUUGAACGCAAGUUGCGCCCGAAGCCACUAGGCCGAGGGCACGCCUGCCUGGGCGUCACACGCCGUUGCCCCCCCAUCUACUCCUUCGGGAUUGCGGGGGGGCGGAUGAUGGCCUCCCGUGCGCCUAGCCGCGCGGUUGGCAUAAAUACCAAGUCCUCGGCGACGCACGCAACGACAAUCGGUGGUUGCGAAACCUCGGUUGCCCGUCGUGUGCGUUCGUCGCGCAUCGAGGGCUCGAAAAAAUGCUCGGCUCCGGCUGGGCUUUCAACGCGACCCCAGGUCAGGCGGGGUUACCCGCUGAAUUUAAGCAUAUCAAUAAGCGGAGGA
rnacentral:misc_RNA from 1 species